GCGCAGAGCGCGGAGGAGCCGCGAGCGCUGAGGGGCUGUUGCAGAUAUAACUGGUGAAGUUGAGGUCAUGCUGGAGUAGGAUGGGCCUUGAAUCCAAUAGGACCGGUGUCGUUAUAAGAGAGGAGAUGGACACAUGAAGACAGAGACAUACGGGGAUCAGACAGUCAUGGGCGGUGGAGGAAGAGAGUGCGGCGACGCAUCUCGGAGCCACAGGACACCUAGAAUGGCCGGCAGCCGGUGGGAGCCGGGAGAGGCAAGGACGGAUCCUCUCCUCCCGGCUUCAGAGGGAGCCCGGCCCUGACCACACCUCGAUCUCAGACUCUGACCUCCAGAACUGCGAGAGAAGAAAUCUCAGUUGUUUUAAUGUAUGCAGCUUGUGGCACUUUGUGACAGCAGAUACAGCAGUACUGUGACAACACUAGGAAACGAAUACACCACCCCAGCAUCUCCGCUCUGUUUUCCAUACAGAAUUGAACUAAGGACCAGGCAAGCUAAUGCAAGUCCAAACACUGUAAAAACUUUGGAGGCAAUCUAAGGAUGUGAGCCAGAUUUGUUUGCCAGAU
rnacentral:sRNA from 1 species